rnacentral:rRNA from 1 species
CUACGGGAGGCAGCAGUGGGGAAUCUUGCACAAUGGGGGAAACCCUGAUGCAGCGACGCCGCGUGAACGAUGAAGCCCUUCGGGGUGUAAAGUUCUUUCGACGGGGACGAUAAUGACGGUACCCGGAGAAGAAGCUGCGGCUAACUACGUGCCAGCAGCCGCGGUAAUACGUAGGCAGCAAGCGUUGUUCGGAAUUACUGGGCGUAAAGAGUGCGUAGGCGGUUAACUAAGUUUGGUGUGAAAUCUCCCGGCUUAACUGGGAGGGUGCGCCGAAAACUGGCUAGCUAGAGUGUGGGAGAGGAUAGUGGAAUUCCUGGUGUAGCGGUGAAAUGCGUAGAUAUCAGGAGGAACACCUGCGGUGUAGACGGCUAUCUGGACCAUGACUGACGCUGAGGCACGAAAGCGUGGGUAGCAAACAGGAUUAGAUACCCUAGUAGUCCC